CCUCAGCGGGCUGCGUUCGCCUCUGCCAUUCACCCCAAAGCUCCGUGCUGCCGUUCCCAGCUGCCAGCCGGGGGUGGAAGAUCGAUCCUAACGACUUCACACACGCACACGCACACAAACAACAACAAAAAAAAAAACAACCAAAAAACCCAAACCCAACCCAAAUGUUGGACUUUUGUAAUGAGGAACGGUCUUCUUGCCCAAUGCGGCGCCAAUGGGACGGUUCGGCUCUGUGCCCCUUCGCUAAAACAAAGCGAGGAAACGGCACCCGGGGGGCGGCAGAGCUCUCCAGAAAUUCCCGCUGUCGUUUGAAGGCGGUUCACGGUUCAUCUGCAGGCACAGAGCUCCCCUGUGCCCCCAGCCCAGGUCUAUGACAUCCAUCGGACGGGGGUGAUUUUAACUUACUCAUCCAGCAUCGUGUUAUGGCCAAGCGUGGGCGCAAAGCGCACCGCUGCGUGCUGGGAGCGCGAUGGUUUUCGCUUAGGGAUGCGCCGAUGCAAUGAAGACAAAAAGCCCCUCUGAAAGCAGAGCGCGUCCCUCUGCUUUGCUAAAGGCUGUUCCCAAAUGGCUGCGGACUCUCAAAUCAGCUGGGAACCGCUCCCAGGGAACGCUAUGAAACCAGCACUGCAAACCCCGGGGUGAGAAUGGCACUGCUGCUCGUGUCCAGGGAGGAUGCACAGCUCAUCAGCUGAAGCAAGCAGGAGGGACUCCGACAAGCUUUCGUUCUUGGCACAGGCUCCGUUGUUGAAGUGAGACGGAGCUUUUUAACCCCGGGAUGGGCGGACGAGGAGCUGGGUUUCAGCUUAGAGCCUCCGCAUCGCCCGCAGCCCCGCAAGCAGGAGCUGCACCGAGGGUCCCCUCUUCCUGCACCCGGACCGCUCGAUGGCAGCACUGCCUUAAAAUGCGGCAGAGGGACGGGUGAGCAGCCCGCCGGCUUGGGAAGGUUUGCUAGCGAUGGUGCUUCCAGCCUUUCCCUUCGCUGCUUUUGGGGCACUGCUGUGAAUAUGGCCAAACCCCAAAGGAGGGGAGGUCCUGGCGAUGGGGGGCAGCUGUAGCAGUCAUCUCAGCUCACCACAGCAAACCCUCUGCCAUCCCAGCUAGCCCCUCUGUGCCCCACCUGAUGACAGCACCCCACUGCAGGGCAGGGAGGCAUCACUCUCAUUUCCCCACCUCUGCUUUCUCACUGGGAAAAAGGAGGCGAUGCCUUACGCACUUUCCUGCUGGAAAGAACCACCUAUUUUUUCUAUUUUUUUUUUUUUUUUUUGCUCGCUGCCAUGCGAGGAAUUGAAGCGCUACCUGAAGCAGGCUGCAGAUGGGCACAUGUGCCACGGCAUGUCCAGGCUGGGCAGCUGGGAGGUAUGUCCCUCAAGGGGGAGGUUUUCUUUCUUCCAGAAGAGGAAAAAGGGAAAAAAUUCAACCUGAAGAAGAAAUCCUGCAUGAGAGAGAGCAGAUAUAUUCAUCACUUGGCAGAAAUGAGUAGACUACUGCAAGCUGGUGACAGCUAAUUAAUGCUUACAGGUCCCUGUGAAGGUGCCAGCACUGUUCUGUGUGUGAUGCACUGUGCUGUUCCAACGAUCCCCCCUCCUUCCUUUUCCCAGGGAUGCUUGUAUACCUUUGCAUGUACCGCCAGCACUUCCAGAGCAAAGCAAUGCUUUGUAAUCAGCAGAUGGAAAAACCUUGACUUUUCCUGUUGUGUUUUCCAGAAGGACAGGAGCCUCUUCCCCUAUAGGUUUCCCAGCAGUUCCCCUGGGGCCAGCAAACAAUGCAAGUGCGUACAAAGCGCGAUUCUCGGGGAGGAAAAUCUGCUGCAGGGAACCAUCAGAGAUGACCUUUUUGCAGCCUCAGCUCCUCCAUGCCCCAUCCGAGGGCUUGGACCUCAUGUGCAAGUGACACGGGCAGUGAUGGGUUCAAGAUUUACCAUCUACCUGAAGAGUGGCCCUAGCCAGCCUGUAUCCUGGUGGGCAGCAAAGUGCAGAGGUGCUUUCAGGGCUUUGUGCUUGGCAGAUUGGGCUGUCCUGUAGAUUUGGGGGAUGGCACCAGUGGGGGACAGUGGCUGGCACCCAAGAAGCAAUGACAUCUUUUCCUAAAGCAGCUGGAUCGCAAAGGGAACACCUGCCCUGCUUUAUCUGCUUGCCUGGGCAAGCCACCUGGGCUUUCCCUGGCUUUAAAUUGAGCACAGCUGCUCCCUGCUUUUGGGUUUUCCUGUACUUUUGUGUUGUAUGUUCUUGUGUUUUGGAGGCUCAGGUGUAGGGGUGGCUGGAGGCUGUGUAGCUCUAAAAUGAUGUUGUGUCUGCAAAAGGAAAUAGAAGAGAACUGGUUUUUCCCACCUCUGUGAAGCUGCAUUCGAAACACAGACCUGGCUUGGCCUCCCCCACCCUCAGGAAAUGGGCUACAGUGAUGCUCGUAACCCAAGUGAGCCUUAGCAUGUGUGGUUUUUGGUUUCGGGGGUGAUAAACUGCUGUGAGCUGUGUGAGCACUUGUCACAAACAGUGCUGCUGACAUGACCAAUGCCAUUGUCAAAACCAAGCUUGGUGCCUGCUUACUGAGCUGGCUGUGGGGCUCUGUGCUUGUCUCCUCUUACGUGUUUUCCCAUUGCAUUGGGUACAGAUUGUUCUGUUUUGUGUUCAGAAGCUGGUAAUGGCAUCAAGUUUUCCUUGCUGAAGCCAAUCUCAAAUGUGGUGACUUCUCUAGGUUUGCUGCACCAGAAGCAUUCCCCUUUUCCAUGGGAGGACACUGGGGCCUUUCAAGAAAACAGCGAAUAUGGCACUGAGGGGCAUGGCUUAGUGGGCAUGGUGGUUGGACUACGUGAUCUUAGUGGUCUUUUCCAACCUUAAUGAUUCUAUGACCCAGACAAUCUGGAGGACUAGGAAGAUGUAGAGGACCAAGACAACUGGGAAAACCCAGGUGUUCAUCAUUAGGUGAAUGGGCUAAAUUACAAUGCCACUGAUGCACCAAUAGCUCCAGGGAAUCCACUUCCAGCUUUUCCUUGUGAUGCAUGCAAACUGUUUGAGUGGGGAAAGCCCAGAAGGUCCCACAGCUGCAAUUAAUGAGCUUGCUCAGGUCAGUGGGAAGUGGCUCUAAGCAUCCUCAUAGUCAGUAGUUCUCACCAUGCUGGUCCCUGUUGGAGCACGCUCAUGCUAUAUGGGGGGAACUGCAAUAUCCCAUUGGACUUCUCCCACUUGGCAGCUUUGCUACCAAGCUACGUGCUAGCACUUGACAAUGCCUGGAGGUCAUUCCUGGGUUGGGUGCUUCACGUAGUGGUCCAUCAUCAGCCCCAAAGUGCUGUGUUUCAGCUGGAAACCUGCCCACAAAUCUCUGAAGCCCAAAGAAGGAAGAAGGGCUUUGGCGAAGACUGGCAGCUUGCAUGAGAAGUGGAAAUGAAGGAGGAAAAGAUUUUAUUUUUUUCCUUGUUGGGAGAGGAAACAGCAGCACAUAGGCCACUGCCAUAGUGCUGGGGAGCCACAGGAAGGUGUAUUUUGUUUCCAGCUCGCCCGGCUGGGAUUUCUCUCCUUUAUUUCGUCGUGGAAAAAUUGAAGCUGCUGGAAAACAGUCUUCCAAGAGGAGGGCCCUUCUGCAAAGCUCAGGGCAUUGCUUGGUCACAGCAUCCACACCAGCAUGCAAAGACCAAAGCAGGUGCCCAGGGCGUGCUGGAAAGCGAGCUGAGGGGAAGGUGAGCUGGGGGAUCUGGGGAGGAUUUCUGCAGCUUUAGCAAAGAGACUCUGAAUUUCUCAGGACAGUACCAGUGGGGCUGUUGGAACAGCUGCUUGGAAGCACUGCAGAAGAGCAGAAACAGUCUUGAACCAGAGCUGGGAGGAAGACUGAACAGGUUCAACACCAGGAUGCGGUGCAAGCCCGUCCUCCCUGAUGACAGUGUUUUUGCUGGGAGGUCACAGCGCCUUGAGAGCAGAAGGCAAAACCUCUCUGGUUUGGUUUUGGCUUCCUUAGGGCUUUGCCAGCAGCACACAAAGAAAUCUCCAUACAGCUCUGCUGCUUUUCCACUCAACAUAACUCUUGUUAGGUCAGGAGCGCUGCGCAUUUCCAAGUGUUGGCCUUUUAUUUAUUAAAUGAUGGCUUUAUUUCCACCCGGCAACGUCUGCCAAAAGCGCUCUCAAUGAAGAGCGGAGAUUAUCCAUAACGCAAAGCGCUCCGCUCGCAAGGCUGUGUGCAAAUGAAAUGAAGUCAGCUCAAUUGGAUGAUUGCUCGAAGCAAUUUAAACCCAA